rnacentral:rRNA from 1 species
UACGUAGGGUGCAAGCGUUAUCCGGAAUUAUUGGGCGUAAAGAGCUCGUAGGCGGUUUGUCGCGUCUGCUGUGAAAACCUAAGGCUCAACCUUGGGCUUGCAGUGGGUACGGGCAGACUAGAGUGCGGUAGGGGUGACUGGAAUUCCUGGUGUAGCGGUGGAAUGCGCAGAUAUCAGGAGGAACACCGAUGGCGAAGGCAGGUCACUGGGCCGCAACUGACGCUGGAG